rnacentral:rRNA from 2 species
UGCAGUCGAGCGGACAGAAGGGAGCUUGCUCCCGGAUGUUAGCGGCGGACGGGUGAGUAACACGUGGGUAACCUGCCUGUAAGACUGGGAUAACUCCGGGAAACCGGAGCUAAUACCGGAUAGUUCCUUGAACCGCAUGGUUCAAGGAUGAAAGACGGUUUCGGCUGUCACUUACAGAUGGACCCGCGGCGCAUUAGCUAGUUGGUGAGGUAACGGCUCACCAAGGCGACGAUGCGUAGCCGACCUGAGAGGGUGAUCGGCCACACUGGGACUGAGACACGGCCCAGACUCCUACGGGAGGCAGCAGUAGGGAAUCUUCCGCAAUGGACGAAAGUCUGACGGAGCAACGCCGCGUGAGUGAUGAAGGUUUUCGGAUCGUAAAGCUCUGUUGUUAGGGAAGAACAAGUGCAAGAGUAACUGCUUGCACCUUGACGGUACCUAACCAGAAAGCCACGGCUAACUACGUGCCAGCAGCCGCGGUAAUACGUAGGUGGCAAGCGUUGUCCGGAAUUAUUGGGCGUAAAGGGCUCGCAGGCGGUUUCUUAAGUCUGAUGUGAAAGCCCCCGGCUCAACCGGGGAGGGUCAUUGGAAACUGGGAAACUUGAGUGCAGAAGAGGAGAGUGGAAUUCCACGUGUAGCGGUGAAAUGCGUAGAGAUGUGGAGGAACACCAGUGGCGAAGGCGACUCUCUGGUCUGUAACUGACGCUGAGGAGCGAAAGCGUGGGGAGCGAACAGGAUUAGAUACCCUGGUAGUCCACGCCGUAAACGAUGAGUGCUAAGUGUUAGGGGGUUUCCGCCCCUUAGUGCUGCAGCUAACGCAUUAAGCACUCCGCCUGGGGAGUACGGUCGCAAGACUGAAACUCAAAGGAAUUGACGGGGGCCCGCACAAGCGGUGGAGC